rnacentral:rRNA from 1 species
CAGUCGAGCGAACGGAUAAGGAGCUUGCUCCUUUGAAGUUAGCGGCGGACGGGUGAGUAACACGUGGGUAACCUACCUAUAAGACUGGGAUAACUUCGGGAAACCGGAGCUAAUACCGGAUAACAUUUAGAACCGCAUGGUUCUAAAGUGAAAGAUGGUUUUGCUAUCACUUAUAGAUGGACCCGCGCCGUAUUAGCUAGUUGGUAAGGUAACGGCUUACCAAGGCGACGAUACGUAGCCGACCUGAGAGGGUGAUCGGCCACACUGGAACUGAGACACGGUCCAGACUCCUACGGGAGGCAGCAGUAGGGAAUCUUCCGCAAUGGGCGAAAGCCUGACGGAGCAACGCCGCGUGAGUGAUGAAGGGUUUCGGCUCGUAAAACUCUGUUAUUAGGGAAGAACAAAUGUGUAAGUAACUGUGCACAUCUUGACGGUACCUAAUCAGAAAGCCACGGCUAACUACGUGCCAGCAGCCGCGGUAAUACGUAGGUGGCAAGCGUUAUCCGGAAUUAUUGGGCGUAAAGCGCGCGUAGGCGGUUUCUUAAGUCUGAUGUGAAAGCCCACGGCUCAACCGUGGAGGGUCAUUGGAAACUGGGAAACUUGAGUGCAGAAGAGGAAAGUGGAAUUCCAUGUGUAGCGGUGAAAUGCGCAGAGAUAUGGAGGAACACCAGUGGCGAAAGCGACUUUCUGGUCUGUAACUGACGCUGAUGUGCGAAAGCGUGGGGAUCAAACAGGAUUAGAUACCCUGGUAGUCCACGCCGUAACGAUGA